rnacentral:lncRNA from 1 species
GUACUCAACAAAUAUUGUCACAACCAGUUUAGAGCUUUAUUUCCACUAAAAUUAGUCCAAUGAGUUAAAUUCCAUCCUGAAUAUCAAUUAAUAUGUUAUAUCACUAUAUUAUAUAAAUAAGGAAAUAAAUACGAAAUUAAAAUAAACUGAAUAAUCCAAAGAUCAUAUUAUGUUAGGCGGACAAUACAACAGGAUUAAUCAUUGGGACAUAACAUCAAUUAAAAAGCUUAUAAAGAACUAUAAAACAUAGAAGUAUGUAUGUAAUGCAUUACUGAAUUAUUUAAUUAUACUGAAGAAACAGUUCGUUUCAUUGCUUAUCAUAAAAUAUGGAACCGAAGUCAUCUUCACCUUAAUGAAUGAUGAGGAUGAUCUAACAGAAGACUUGAUAUCACAGCAUUGCUUCAAUGAAAUUAAGACCAGUUGCAUCUUCAUGAUCCUCUGAUAUACAACACACUCCUCUUGCUGGAAGACAAUCUUAGUCCAAGAUUAUCCAAAAUAACGGAUCCAUUUACAGAGCUAAAUUGCUGACAACAGAUUCUCACAAUUCUCGAGAUUGGAACUAUCACUGCACUAUAGAAUUACAAUACAAUUGUUCACAGCCGAAGCUGAAACUCCGUUUUACAUUUGUUAUGUUACAAAAGCAACAGCUGAUUAACAUGACUGGGCAGAUCAAAUGAGAUUAACCACUGGUAGUAAUAUUCAUAAGUAUAAUACUUGAAAGAAACCAAGUAAAUAAUAUAACUUGAUAAUAUAAUAACAAAUUAGGGACCAAAUUAAAUUCGACCAAAUUAAUUAGCACAAUUGAUCAUGUAGAAGAUUGCUGAUGAACCAUAAGCGAAAGCUGAAUAAUAAUAAUAUUGUUCAAACAACAAACGUGUCGAUAUGGGUUGAUUCAAAGGGAGCCAAUUGGAUUUGAAAUGUCUGACUUGAUUUUAAGGAAGUUAAGUUGGAUUUGAAAUGUCUGAUACUUUGAACAAAAGAUAAUUUAGACUUGAAGAAAACCUAUGAAACAUUUGUGAUGAUCUAAUAAAUUUCAAUUAGAACUAAUUUUAGCUGCAUGAUUAAUUACUUCUAAAUUUAAAUCAAUAAUAAUUAAUUCGAAUGAAAUUCGAUAGAUGAUACCUUGUUAUGUAGUAGUUGAAAAUCUUCGAUGAAUCCAUCCCGUGCAGAGUAUUGGAACGUAGAUAGUAGCGCAAGAUACGUAAUAAUAAAGAGGCAUAAUGAAAAGUAGCAAGGCAAGGCAACACCACACACAGGGGAAAGAGAUCCCGGGCAAAAAUCCCCGUGCGAUCUCCUCCCAAAAACCAACGAAACUUUUUUUUUAUUAUUUUUUUUGACCUGCCAAGCAAGCGCACCUGACAUGGCAAAGGUCGGAUGACAAGAUCAGUCAGGAUUUAAUCCUCAACACACUCAGCGUGCCGAGGCAUAUAAUCCUGAUACAUCCUACAUCCAUAUUAUAUUUUACCCUACCCGUAACUCUCAAUCAUCAUAUACAAUAAUAAUACGAAUUCACCAUCAACAUCAAUAGCUUGUAUAUCAGAAGCCGAUGCAUCCAUAAUUAUAACCAUCAAGGUGAAAUCUCCAUAAUUCAACAAUUCAACGCCGGAUCUACGAUCUGUUCAACGNNNN